rnacentral:rRNA from 1 species
UAGGGAAUCUUCCGCAAUGGACGCAAGUCUGACGGAGCAACGCCGCGUGAGUGAAGAAGGAUUUCGGUUCGUAAAACUCUGUUGUUAGAGAAGAACAGCGCAUAGAGUAACUGUUAUGCGUGUGACGGUAUCUAACCAGAAAGCCACGGCUAACUACGUGCCAGCAGCCGCGGUAAUACGUAGGUGGCAAGCGUUGUCCGGAUUUAUUGGGCGUAAAGCGAGCGCAGGCGGUCAAUUAAGUCUGAUGUGAAAGCCCCCGGCUCAACCGGGGAGGGUCAUUGGAAACUCGUUGACUUGAGUGCAGAAGAGGAAAGUGGAAUUCCAUGUGUAGCGGUGAAAUGCGCAGAGAUAUGGAGGAACACCAGUGGCGAAGGCGACUUUCUGGUCUGUAACUGACGCUGAUGUGCGAAAGCGUGGGGAUCAAACAGG